AGGGAAUUGUUUUAGUUCUGCACAAGCUCAGAAAAAACAUGUGGAUGGUUUCAGGCCGAAAUUUCCACUGUUCCCAAGUGGACUUUGAAAAAUAAGGAACGUCUGGAUGAUGAAUGAGCUAUUUCCCAGCAAGAAAUGCUCAUCUCCUGGCAGGCUGUUUUCUAAGCAUGUACACCCAAUACAAAUAAUUUAAUAGUGUCAUCUUAUUUAUGAGGGGAACAUCUGUCUAUCUUUCCCAGAUGCUGUCACAGAAGAUGCAGGGAAUGUACAAAGAGCAGGUCUUGCCUCCGUGUUCUCUUACGCUUCGUGGCAUGCCCGUUUGAGACCCAAGUUUGUUUAACGACACGUGCAUAACCAAGAAGAUUUUUCCUUUUACUUUAAAGCCUCAGUCGGGGCUCAGCUAUCAGCAGGAGGUCCCAGUUUACGAGCAGGGCCCAAGCCGUGGCGGUGCUCCGGCGGUGGGGGUACCCGGGGCGGCGGGCGCGGCUCUGCGCUGCUCGACAGUGACACUCGGUGGGCGGCGGGGCCGGGAGCGGGCGCGGGGCGGACGGGACGGGCGAGCCCGCGGCACGGGGAGCCUCGCACCUCCCGGCCCCGCGGGGUUGGCGCGGGCUCUGCCCUUGUCCCCCCGGAGCGUUUGAUGCGCCUGCAGACGGGGAAGGGCGUGUGUGUGAGAAAAGCGGGGGCAGAGAGCAGAGCUUGCUUCUGUUCUCCACAAAACUUGUGGGAUUCUUAAUCUGCCUGGGCCGCUGUCCUGAGGCUCCUGAGGCGCCUUUGCAGAAACCAACGGUAACUUCAGCAGGACGGUUUGCUUAAAGAGAUAGGCCAAUCAACAUAACCACAUAUCAAUAAGUCUUGUGAUGAAGCUUGUCAGAGCAAGGAGUCUCUCCCAGCCCUUGCUGUUCACAGUCUGCCACACAAUCCAAUAAAUUCCUUUCCUGAUGAUA